GGGUAGUGCAAGUGAACUGAACUUCUGCGUCGGUGUAGGCUACACUAUAUUCUUAAAUGCACCCAACUUUAAUCAUGCGCUGAGAUUUAUAAUAGAGGAAAAAACUAGCUGGAUGUUCGGAUUAUGAGUAGACUGGGACCUAGGCGGAAAACUUCAAGAUUUUUCCUAAAAAAAAAAUAUUCCAAAAAGAAAACUUGGGACUGAUUGUGCGCGCUUUGAGGCCAAAAUCUGCAGUCUAAAAGCAGGUAAGCCACUGACUAACGCACAUUGUGCCAGUUUCCAGUUCCACUGUGCGUGUGACAGCGGCUAACCUGGUUUUGGGAACACCUCUCAUAUUUUUGACUCGUCUGAGACCCAGCCAGAGCCGGAUCAGACAGACACCUGUUUACAAGCAGCCCUUGAUCGUGGCCCCGUGAGCACCGCCUGGACAUAAAUGCUCUCCCAGUGGUCUCCAUGUGUACCGUAACCUACUUCCUACUAUGUUCAUACAGUACCUUAUUUAGGACCGUGUGGGGUUUGCACUCCCUCCUCUUUAAUGCCAUCGUUUGAGACUGCUGGUGAGUGUUUCGUUUCAGUUUCUGUUUCAUCUGUUGGGUUUAGAUCAUGUUCAUGUUCACUGGUUACCAAUUUGAGGUCAGGGGGCCUCCAGAGGGUUCUUCCAAGAGGUUCCUUUGGGCCCAUAAGGAAAAGAUGAACAGUGCUAUAAAGAAACUCGGUUUCAGGACAGAAUGGAUAAUAUUAUGCAUAGUAAUCAGACUAUAACCAAUUUAUUACUAAAUUCUAUAUAGUGACACAACCUUACCAUGUAAGAAAAUACAUAUGGAUUGCAGCAAUACAGUAUGUACAAUGUAUGCUUGUAAGUAACCAAAGUAAAGUUUCUGCUCAAAUCAA